AUUGAACGCUGGCGGCAGGCUUAACACAUGCAAGUCGAGCGGGGGAAGGUAGCUUGCUACCGGACCUAGCGGCGGACGGGUGAGUAAUGCUUAGGAAUCUGCCUAUUAGUGGGGGACAACAUCUCGAAAGGGAUGCUAAUACCGCAUACGUCCUACGGGAGAAAGCAGGGGAUCUUCGGACCUUGCGCUAAUAGAUGAGCCUAAGUCGGAUUAGCUAGUUGGUGGGGUAAAGGCCUACCAAGGCGACGAUCUGUAGCGGGUCUGAGAGGAUGAUCCGCUACACUGGGACUGAGACACGGCCCAGACUCCUACGGGAGGCAGCAGUGGGGAAUAUUGGACAAUGGGGGGAACCCUGAUCCAGCCAUGCCGCGUGUGUGAAGAAGGCCUUAUGGUUGUAAAGCACUGUAAGCGAGGAGGAGGCUACUUUAGUUAAUACCUAGAGAUAGCGGACGUUACUCGCAGAAUAAGCACCGGCUAACUCUGUGCCAGCAGCCGCAGUAA
rnacentral:rRNA from 1 species